rnacentral:rRNA from 1 species
CAGUAGUCACGAGUCUGAUCCAGUGGCCUACAGAAACGAACGCUGGCGGCAUGCCUAACACAUGCAAGUCGAACGAGACCUUCGGGUCUAGUGGCGCACGGGUGCGUAACGCGUGGGAACCUGCCUUAGGUUCGGAAUAACUCAGAGAAAUUUGAGCUAAUGCCGGAUGAUGUCUUCGGACCAAAGAUUUAUCGCCUUUAGAUGGGCCCGCGUAAGAUUAGCUAGUUGGUGGGGUAAAGGCCUACCAAGGCGACGAUCCAUAGCUGGUCUGAGAGGAUGAUCAGCCACACUGGGACUGAGACACGGCCCAGACUCCUACGGGAGGCAGCAGUGGGGAAUAUUGGACAAUGGGGCGAAAGCCUGAUCCAGCAAUGCCGCGUGAGUGAUGAAGGCCUUAGGGUUGUAAAGCUCUUUUACCCGAGAUGAUAAUGACAGUAUCGGGAGAAUAAGCUCCGGCUAACUCCGUG